rnacentral:rRNA from 1 species
UACGGAGGGUGCAAGCGUUAAUCGGAAUUACUGGGCGUAAAGCGCACGUAGGCGGAUUGCUAAGUCAGGGGUGAAAUCCUGGAGCUCAACUCCAGAACUGCCUUUGAUACUGGCAACCUUGAGUCCGGGAGAGGUGAGUGGAACUGCGAGUGUAGAGGUGAAAUUCGUAGAUAUUCGCAAGAACACCAGUGGCGAAGGCGGCUCACUGGCCCGGUACUGACGCUGAGGUGCGAAAGCGUGGGGAGCAAACAGG